AUUGAACGCUGGCGGCAGGCCUAACACAUGCAAGUCGAACGAGUGGCGGACGGGUGAGUAAUGUCUGGGAAUCUGCCUGAUGGAGGGGGAUAACUACUGAAAACGGUAGCUAAUACCGCAUACCAUCAGAUGUGCCCAGAUGGUCUUAGCUUGUUGGUGGGGUAACGGCUCACCAAGGCGACGCUCCCUAGCUGGUCAGAAAGGAUGACCAGCCAACCUGGAACUGAGAAACGGUCCUGACUCCUACGGGAUGAAGCAGUGGGGAAGAUUGCACAAUGGGCGCAAGCCUGAUGCAGCCAUGAGGCGUGUAUGAAGAAGGCCUUCGGGUGUUAAGGUACUUUCUGCGGGGAGGCGUUACCCGCAGAGGAAGCACCGGCUAACUCCGUGCCAGCAGCCGCGGUAAUAC
rnacentral:rRNA from 1 species